GUCUCGAUAGCUAAGUGGUAUAGCAUGCGAUUGCAGUUGUGUGUCAACAUAUCGCAGGGUCCGGUGUUCGAACCACCGUCGGGACU